ACUUNCUUUCUUUGCUGGCGACCGGCGCACGGGUGAGUAACACGUAUCCAACCUGCCCUUUACUCGGGGAUAGCCUUUCGAAAGAAAGAUUAAUACCCGAUAGCAUAAUGAUUCCGCAUGGUUUCAUUAUUAAAGGAUUCCGGUAAAGGAUGGGGAUGCGUUCCAUUAGGUUGUUGGUGAGGUAACGGCUCACCAAGCCUUCGAUGGAUAGGGGUUCUGAGAGGAAGGUCCCCCACAUUGGAACUGAGACACGGUCCAAACUCCUACGGGAGGAGCAUG
rnacentral:rRNA from 1 species